rnacentral:rRNA from 1 species
AGUGAACGCUGGCGGUAGGCCUAACACAUGUAAGUCGAACGGCAGCACAGUAAGAGCUUGCUCUUACGGGUGGCGAGUGGCGGACGGGUGGGGAAUACAUCGGAAUCUACUUUUUCGUGGGGGAUAACGUAGGGAAACUUACGCUAAUACCGCAUACGACCUACGGGUGAAAGCAGGGGAUCUUCGGACCUUGCGCGAUUGAAUGAGCCGAUGUCGGAUUAGCUAGUUGGCGGGGUAAAGGCCCACCAAGGCGACGAUCCGUAGCUGGUCUGAGAGGAUGAUCAGCCACACUGGAACUGAGACACGGUCCAGACUCCUACGGGAGGCAGCAGUGGGGAAUAUUGGACAAUGGGCGCAAGCCUGAUCCAGCCAUACCGCGUGGGUGAAGAAGGCCUUCGGGUUGUAAAGCCCUUUUGUUGGGAAAGAAAAGCAGCAGGUUAAUACCCCGCUGUUCUGACGGUACCCAAAGAAUAAGCACCGGCUAACUUCGUG